rnacentral:rRNA from 1 species
AGCGUCAAAGUUUACCUAAACCCCCAAAAUACCAUUAACCUUUAUGAACCCCUAAUUUAUAAUGAAUGACUCCAUAUAAUUAUGGAAGACACCAUGCUAGGAUUAGUAACAAGAAUUUAUGAUUCUCCAAAAUGCAAACAUAAACCAAUAUGGAUAAGCCAUUGGUAAUUACCGAACCUGAACUUACUGCAAUAACACCUACAAGAAAACCCUGCAGUAUUUACUCGUUAACCUAACACCAGCGCAUUUCAGGAAAGAUUAAUAAAAAGAGAAGGAAUUCGGCAAAUGACGACCCCGCCUGUUUACCAAAAACAUCGCCUCUUGACUUGUAAAUAAGAGGUCCAGCCUGCCCAGUGAAUUUUUAACGGCCGCGGUAUCCUAACCGCGCGAAGGUAGCAUAAUCACUUGUUCUUUAAAUGGGGACUCGUAUCAACGGCAUCACGAGGGUUUUACUGUCUCCUCUUUUUGAUCAGUGAAAUUGAUCUUCCCGUGAAGAAGCGGGAAUAUUUAUAUAAGACGAGAAGACCCCAUGGAGCUUUAAACCAAAUAGCAACUUAACCAUAUAUUGCCUAAUAAUUUUAAGCCUGUGCUACAAGGUUUUUGGUUGGGGUGACCGCGGAGUAAAGCACAUCCUCCACGACGAAAAGACUACAAUCUUUAUUUAUGAACUACAAUUCUAGAAAUUAGUAUACUAACGUUUACUGACCCGACAAUCGAUCAACGGAACAAGUUACCCUGGGGAUAACAGCGCAAUCUACUUCAAGAGCCCAUAUCGACAAGUAGGCUUACGACCUCGAUGUUGGAUCAGGGUAUCCCAGUGGUGCAGCCGCUACUGAAGGUUCGUUUGUUCAACGAUUAAAAC